rnacentral:rRNA from 1 species
AUUGAACGCUGGCGGCAGGCCUAACACAUGCAAGUCGAGCGGAGCUGCGGACGGGUGAGUAAUGCCUAGUAAUCUGCCUGGUAUUGGGGGAUAACGUCCGGAAACGGGCGCUAAUCCCGCAUACUAUCAGAUGAGCCUCGGUCGGAUUAGCUAGUUGGUGGGGUAAAGGCCUACCAAGGCGACGAUCAGUAACUGGUCUGAGAGGAUGCUCAGUCACACUGGAACUGAGACACGGUCCAGACUCCUACGGGAGGCAGCAGGGGGGAAGAUUGGACAAUGGGCGAAAGCCUGAUCCAGCCAUGCCGCGUGUGUGAAGAAGGUCUUCGGAUUGUAAAGCACGUUAAGUUGGGAGGCGUUACCAACAGAAUAAGCACCGGCUAACUUCGUGCCAGCAGCCGCGGUAAUUC